rnacentral:rRNA from 1 species
AGUCGAGCGGUAACAGGAAUUAGCUUGCUAAUUUGCUGACGAGCGGCGGACGGGUGAGUAACGCGUAGGAAUCUGCCUGGUAGUGGGGGACAACAUGUGGAAACGCAUGCUAAUACCGCAUACGCCCUACGGGGGAAAGGAGGGGAUCUUCGGACCUUUCGCUAUCAGAUGAGCCUGCGUGAGAUUAGCUAGUUGGUGGGGUAAAGGCUCACCAAGGCGACGAUCUCUAGCUGGUCUGAGAGGAUGAUCAGCCACACUGGGACUGAGACACGGCCCANACUCCUACGGGAGGCAGCAGUGGGGAAUAUUGGACAAUGGGCGCAAGCCUGAUCCAGCCAUGCCGCGUGUGUGAAGAAGGCCUUAGGGUUGUAAAGCACUUUCAGGAGUGAGGAAGGGUAUACGGUUAAUACCCGUAUAUUUUGACGUUAACUCCAGAAGAAGCACCGGCUAACUCUGUACCAGCAGCCGCGGUAAUACAGAGGGUGCGAGCGUUAAUCGGAAUUACUGGGCGUAAAGCGCGCGUAGGCGGUUUGUUAAGUCGGAUGUGAAAUCCCAGGGCUCAACCUUGGAACGGCACCCGAUACCGGCAGGCUAGAGUACGGUAGAGGGGUGUGGAAUUUCCUGUGUAGCGGUGAAAUGCGUAGAUAUAGGAAGGAACAUCAGUGGCGAAGGCGACACCCCUGGACCGAUACUGACACUGAGUGCGAAAGCGUGGGGAGCAAACAGGAUUAGAUACCCUGGUAGUCCACGCCGUAAACGAUGUCUACU